GUCUGAGCCUACAGAGUACUCACCCUGAUCCUGGAAGCUAAGCAGGGCCAGGCAUGGUCAAUAGUUGGAUGGGAGACUGCCUGGCAAUACCGAGUGUUGCAGAGU
ensembl:rRNA 5S_rRNA 5S ribosomal RNA